CCAGGCGCACCGGCCGGCCUCGGAGCUCUACCAGCAGGCUUUCAUGGGAGCGGAGGUGCCCACGUUUCCAUUGUGCGGUAACCGCGCUUCAUCACAGCCACCUCCAAUCGAGGCCGCACGGUGUCCCCAGAACCACGCUCGGUACAACCUGCCCCGGCCGCUGCGCUCGACUUGGGAGCGCGCCCCGCCCCGAGCGCACGACCUCCCUUCCCUCUCCGCGACUUGAGCUUGCUUCCCGGAAAGCCAGUGUAGUGGCAGCGGUUUGCCUCACAGCGCCCCUGGCAGCACUGAGAAGUGAAGGAAUAUUUGGGAGGAUCAGAAGCUUGGUCCUGAUUUUGCCAUCAACAGGAACUUGAUGACUUCAAGGGAGUCCCCAAACCCUGGGUUUCUGUUUUCUCAACUCUAACAUGAGGGGCUAGAUGCAUCUGGUUUAGUUAGUCUCCAUGAUGGUUUAGUUCGUCUCCAUGAUCCUGUGAAUUUCAGAUGUUGAAAAUCUUCGGAAAAGCCCUGAAAGAUGAACAGUGGUCUCAAAUAGUCAAGACCCCCUGCUGGGAGGAGCUUCUAUCCUGCUCUGUGGAA
rnacentral:lncRNA from 1 species